rnacentral:rRNA from 1 species
CGUACACUCCUGCGGGAGGCAGCAGUGGGGAAUAUUGCACAAUGGGCGCAAGCCUGAUGCAGCGACGCCGCGUGGGGGAUGAAGGCCUUCGGGUUGUAAACUCCUUUCGCGAGGGACGAAGCUUUUUUGUGACGGUACCUAGAUAAGAAGCACCGGCUAACUACGUGCCAGCAGCCGCGGUAAUACGUAGGGUGCGAGCGUUGUCCGGAAUUACUGGGCGUAAAGGGCUCGUAGGUGGUUUGUCGCGUCGUCUGUGAAAUUCUGGGGCUUAACUCCGGGCGUGCAGGCGAUACGGGCAUAACUGGAGUGCUGUAGGAGUAACUGGAAUUCCUGGUGUAGCGGUGAAAUGCUCAGAUAUCAGGAGGAACACCGAUGGCGAAGGCAGGUUACUGGGCAGUUACUGACGCUGAGGAGCGAAAGCAUGGGUAGCGAACAGGAUUAGAUACCCGUGUAGUCCC